rnacentral:rRNA from 2 species
AGCGCAUACGGUGGAUGCCUUGGCAGUCAGAGGCGAUGAAAGACGUGGUAGCCUGCGAAAAGCUUCGGGGAGUCGGCAAACAGACUGUGAUCCGGAGAUGUCUGAAUGGGGGAACCCAGCCAUCAUAAGAUGGUUAUCUUGUACUGAAUACAUAGGUGCAAGAGGCGAACCAGGGGAACUGAAACAUCUAAGUACCCUGAGGAAAAGAAAUCAACCGAGAUUCCCUUAGUAGUGGCGAGCGAACGGGGACCAGCCCUUAAGUUGUAUUGAGAUUAGCGGAACGUUCUGGAAAGGACGGCCAUAGUGGGUGAUAGCCCUGUACGCGAAAAUCCCUUUGCAAUGAAAUCGAGUAGGACGGGGCACGAGAAACCUUGUCUGAAUAUGGGGGGACCAUCCUCCAAGGCUAAAUACUACUGACUGACCGAUAGUGAACCAGUACCGUGAGGGAAAGGCGAAAAGAACCGCGGAGAGCGGAGUGAAAUAGAUCCUGAAACCGUAUGCGUACAAGCAGUGGGAGCCCACUUUGUUGGGUGACUGCGUACCUUUUGUAUAAUGGGUCAGCGACUUAUUUUCAGUGGCGAGCUUAACCGAAUAGGGGAGGCGUAGCGAAAGCGAGUCUUAAUAGGGCGUCUAGUCGCUGGGAAUAGACCCGAAACCGGGCGAUCUAUCCAUGGGCAGGUUGAAGGUUGGGUAACACUAACUGGAGGACCGAACCGACUACCGUUGAAAAGUUAGCGGAUGACCUGUGGAUCGGAGUGAAAGGCUAAUCAAGCUCGGAGAUAGCUGGUUCUCCUCGAAAGCUAUUUAGGUAGCGCCUCAUGUAUCACUGUAGGGGGUAGAGCACUGUUUCGGCUAGGGGGUCAUCCCGACUUACCAAACCGAUGCAAACUCCGAAUACCUACAAGUGCCGAGCAUGGGAGACACACGGCGGGUGCUAACGUCCGUCGUGAAAAGGGAAACAACCCAGACCGUCAGCUAAGGUCCCAAAGUCAUGGUUAAGUGGGAAACGAUGUGGGAAGGCUUAGACAGCUAGGAGGUUGGCUUAGAAGCAGCCACCCUUUAAAGAAAGCGUAAUAGCUCACUAGUCGAGUCGGCCUGCGCGGAAGAUGUAACGGGGCUCAAACCAUGCACCGAAGCUACGGGUAUCAUCUUUUGAUGAUGCGGUAGAGGAGCGUUCUGUAAGCCUGUGAAGGUGAGUUGAGAAGCUUGCUGGAGGUAUCAGAAGUGCGAAUGCUGACAUGAGUAACGACAAUGGGUGUGAAAAACACCCACGCCGAAAGACCAAGGUUUCCUGCGCAACGUUAAUCGACGCAGGGUUAGUCGGUCCCUAAGGCGAGGCUGAAAAGCGUAGUCGAUGGAAAACAGGUUAAUAUUCCUGUACUUCUGGUUAUUGCGAUGGAGGGACGGAGAAGGCUAGGCCAGCCUGGCGUUGGUUGUCCAGGUUUAAGGUGGUAGGCUGAGAUCUUAGGUAAAUCCGGGAUCUUAAGGCCGAGAGCUGAUGACGAGUGUUCUUUUAGAACACGAAGUGGUUGAUGCCAUGCUUCCAAGAAAAGCUUCUAAGCUUCAGGUAACCAGGAACCGUACCCCAAACCGACACAGGUGGUUGGGUAGAGAAUACCAAGGCGCUUGAGAGAACUCGGGUGAAGGAACUAGGCAAAAUGGCACCGUAACUUCGGGAGAAGGUGCGCCGGUGGAGGUGAAGCAUUUACUGCGUAAGCCCCUGCCGGUCGAAGAUACCAGGCCGCUGCGACUGUUUAUUAAAAACACAGCACUCUGCAAACACGAAAGUGGACGUAUAGGGUGUGACGCCUGCCCGGUGCCGGAAGGUUAAUUGAUGGGGUUAGCGCAAGCGAAGCUCUUGAUCGAAGCCCCGGUAAACGGCGGCCGUAACUAUAACGGUCCUAAGGUAGCGAAAUUCCUUGUCGGGUAAGUUCCGACCUGCACGAAUGGCGUAACGAUGGCGGCGCUGUCUCCACCCGAGACUCAGUGAAAUUGAAAUCGCUGUGAAGAUGCAGUGUAUCCGCGGCUAGACGGAAAGACCCCGUGAACCUUUACUAUAGCUUUGCACUGGACUUUGAAUUUGCUUGUGUAGGAUAGGUGGGAGGCUUUGAAGCGUGGACGCCAGUCUGCGUGGAGCCAACCUUGAAAUACCACCCUGGCAACUUUGAGGUUCUAACUCAGGUCCGUUAUCCGGAUCGAGGACAGUGUAUGGUGGGUAGUUUGACUGGGGCGGUCUCCUCCUAAAGAGUAACGGAGGAGUACGAAGGUGCGCUCAGACCGGUCGGAAAUCGGUCGUAGAGUAUAAAGGCAAAAGCGCGCUUGACUGCGAGACAGACACGUCGAGCAGGUACGAAAGUAGGUCUUAGUGAUCCGGUGGUUCUGUAUGGAAGGGCCAUCGCUCAACGGAUAAAAGGUACUCCGGGGAUAACAGGCUGAUACCGCCCAAGAGUUCAUAUCGACGGCGGUGUUUGGCACCUCGAUGUCGGCUCAUCACAUCCUGGGGCUGAAGCCGGUCCCAAGGGUAUGGCUGUUCGCCAUUUAAAGUGGUACGCGAGCUGGGUUUAGAACGUCGUGAGACAGUUCGGUCCCUAUCUGCCGUGGACGUUUGAGAUUUGAGAGGGGCUGCUCCUAGUACGAGAGGACCGGAGUGGACGAACCUCUGGUGUUCCGGUUGUCACGCCAGUGGCAUUGCCGGGUAGCUAUGUUCGGAAAAGAUAACCGCUGAAAGCAUCUAAGCGGGAAACUUGCCUCAAGAUGAGAUCUCACUGGAACCUUGA